GGACUACUGGGGUUUCUAAUCCGGUUCGCUCCCCACGCUUUCGCGCCUCAGCGUCAGGUCACCCCCAGCCGGCCGCCUUCGCCACUGGUGUUCCUCCCGAUCUCUACGCAUUUCACCACUACACCGGGAAUUCCACCGGCCUCUGAGUGCCUCUAGUCCGGCAGUCUCCACCGCACCCUCCCAGUUGAGCCGGGAGAUUUCACGGCAGUCUUACCGCACCACCUGCGCGCCCUUUACGCCCAAUAAAUCCGGACAACGCUCGCCACCUACGUAUUACCGCGGCGGCUGGCAC
rnacentral:rRNA from 1 species